rnacentral:lncRNA from 1 species
AGAACAUCACUGUGAAGAACUUAUCUUCUUUUGUGUGUGUUUCCUGAAUACAUUCAUUUCCAACAGACUUGGGGAUAUUAUCUUAUCUUACUUUCUAGAGCAGGUUUUUCAUGGAUGGUAUCAUCCCAUUAAAAGUGUGAACUUUCAGAAGAUGUUUCUGUGAGAGCAGCUUGCACCCAGAGCCAGAGAAAGAUAAUAAGAAAAAAAGAGUGGUGUUUAAAGUACUCUGUGGAAUGAAAGAAGGGUAUGUGUUUGUGUGUUCAGCUCUCAUGGAUGUAAAACUCUACAAGGAGAAGAAGAGACUAGAGAGGAAUUUUAUGAAAGAAGACUAGAUGGCAACCCGAUUCUCUCUGUGCCUGUCAUUCUUCUAAAACUCAACACACUAAUGAUCUGCAAUAGUUGUCUAGGCUUUUGGUGGCAUUUCAAAUUUUGUUUAAUUUCAUAUGUUACUGAUGAAUGUUUCAUACCUUACAUCAAAGGAGUAACAUUUUAGAGCAUUUCAUCUUGAAUAUUGGGACUAACAUGUUAUAAUCAACUAGAAUUUUAUUAUUAAUCAAGACCUGUAGUAUCCAAUAUGUUAAGCACCAACUAUAUACGGAUAUCGGAUAUUUGAAAUGUGACUAGUCUGAAUGAGCCAUGCUUAUGUGUAAAAUAAACACUGAAAUUUGAAGAUCAAAAAAGGUACAAAAGCUAUAUUCAUAAUUUUAUAGUGAUUACAUGCUAAAAUAUUAUAUUUUGGGUAUAUGAGAUUCCAUGAAACAAAUUACAUAAAUUAAUUUCACAUAUUUCUUUUUAACUUUUUCAUAUAGCUGCUCGCAAAUUUAAAAUUACUUUUUUGGUUUAAUUAUAUUUUUAUUGGAUUGUACUGAUCAGAAUUUAGCCAGAAGUCUUUCCCAAUGCACUCUGACUUUUGGAUGCA